CCAAGGUACCCAGAUUCUGCCAGAGAGACCCCGGGGCCCACCAAGAAGGACACCACGGGGACCAUUGCCACCACCUGUAGGUAGAAGGGAAAAUUUGAAACCACACACA
rnacentral:lncRNA from 1 species